rnacentral:rRNA from 1 species
UACGGAGGAUGCGAGCGUUAUCCGGAUUUAUUGGGUUUAAAGGGUGCGUAGGCGGGCAUUUAAGCCGGCGGUCAAAUGUCGGGGCUCAACCCCGUCGAGCCGUUUGAACUGGCGCGCUUGAGUUCAGGCGAGGUAGGCGGAAUUCGUGGUGUAGCGGUGAAAUGCAUAGAUAUCACGAAGAACUCCGAUUGCGAAGGCAGCUUACCAGUCUGCGACUGACGCUCAGGCACGAAAGUGUGGGUAGUCGAACAGG